GGAAGGGCAUAGCUCAGUGAUAGAGCAUCUGCUUUCCUUGCAGAAGGUUCCAGGUUCAAUUUUCAGCACCUCUGGUUUCCU